rnacentral:rRNA from 1 species
UACGUAGGGAGCAAGCGUUGUUCGGAUUUACUGGGCGUAAAGGGCGCGUAGGCGGCGCGGUAAGUCACUUGUGAAAUCUCUGAGCUUAACUCAGAACGGCCAAGUGAUACUGCAGUGCUAGAGUGCAGAAGGGGCAAUCGGAAUUCUUGGUGUAGCGGUGAAAUGCGUAGAUAUCAAGAGGAACACCUGAGGUGAAGGCGGGUUGCUAGGCUGACACUGACGCUGAGGCGCGAAAGCCAGGGGAGCAAACGGG